rnacentral:lncRNA from 1 species
GCCGGGAAUCGUGGUUCCCCGACUCAAGUCGCCCGCGCGCGUCGCGGAGCCCCGCGGCAGUUGUGGUUGGGUGGCUUCUGUGAUCCAAAGAAGAAUGAGCCAAAUUGCUACAGAAGUUGAGUCAACCCACUGCCCUCAAAUCCUGAGAUGUAUUCCCAGUGGGAAAAGGAACACUCCUUCAGGACUUUGUACCCCAAAUUCCACGAGACCCACAGACACCCUCAGCCCAGCCCAGCUCCAAGACCAUAAUGAAAAAUGCUUUACCUUGAAAACUAAAUGGACAGGACUUGAUCACAAAGCAUC